GUGGGUGAUCUGCCCUGCACUUUGGGAUAAGCCUGGGAAACUGGGUCUAAUACCGAAUAUGACCAUGCGCCUCCUGGUGUGUGGUGGAAAGCUUUUGCGGUGUGGGAUGGGCCCGCGGCCUAUCAGCUUGUUGGUGGGGUAAUGGCCUACCAAGGCGACGACGGGUAGCCGGCCUGAGAGGGUGACCGGCCACACUGGGACUGAGAUACGGCCCAGACUCCUACGGGAGGCAGCAGUGGGGAAUAUUGCACAAUGGGCGCAAGCCUGAUGCAGCGACGCCGCGUGAGGGAUGACGGCCUUCGGGUUGUAAACCUCUUUCAGCACAGACGAAGCGCAAGUGACGGUAUGUGCAGAAGAAGGACCGGCCAACUACGUGCCAGCAGCCGCGGUAAUACGUAGGGUCCGAGCGUUGUCCGGAAUUACUGGGCGUAAAGAGCUCGUAGGUGGUUUGUCGCGUUGUUCGUGAAAACUCACAGCUUAACUGUGGGCGUGCGGGCGAUACGGGCAGACUUGAGUACUGCAGGGGAGACUGGAAUUCCUGGUGUAGCGGUGGAAUGCGCAGAUAUCAGGAGGAACACCGGUGGCGAAGGCGGGUCUCUGGGCAGUAACUGACGCUGAGGAGCGAAAGCGUGGGGAGCGAACAGGAUUAGAUACCCUGGUAGUCCACGCCGUAAACGGUGGGUACUAGGUGUGGGUUUCCUUCCUUGCGANNNGUGCCGUAGCUAACGCAUUAAGUACCCCGCCUGGNGAGUACGGCCGCAAGGCUAAAACUCAAAGAAAUUGACGGGGGCCCGCACAANNG
rnacentral:rRNA from 1 species